rnacentral:rRNA from 1 species
AACGUAGGUUCCGAGCGUUAUCCGGAUUUACUGGGCGUAAAGCGCGUUCAGGCGGUUUGGCAAGUCGGGCAUGAAAUCUCUCGGCUCAACCGGGAGAGGUUGUCCGAUACUGCUGGACUUGAGGGCAGUAGAGGGUGGUGGAAUUCCGGGUGUAGUGGUGAAAUGCGUAGAUAUCCGGAGGAACACCAGUGGCGAAAGCGGCCACCUGGACUGUACCUGACGCUGAGGCGCGAAAGCUAGGGGAGCAAACAGG